AAGCCAGACUCCUACGGGAGGCAGCAGUGGGGGAUAUUGCACAAUGGGGGGAACCCUGAUGCAGCGACGCCGCGUGGGUGAAGGAGCGUUUCGGCGCGUAAAGCCCUAUCGGCAGGGAAGAAGGAGGACGGUACCUGACUAAGAAGCCCCGGCUAACUACGUGCCAGCAGCCGCGGUAAUACGUAGGGGGCAAGCGUUAUCCGGAUUUACUGGGUGUAAAGGGGGCGCAGACGGCAGCGCAAGCCAGGAGUGAAAGCCCGGUGCCCAACCCCGGGACUGCUCUUGGAACUGCGCGGCUGGAGUGCAGGAGGGGCAGGCGGAAUUCCUGGUGUAGCGGUGAAAUGCGUAGAUAUCAGGAGGAACACCGGUGGCGAAGGCGGCCUGCUGGACUGCGACUGACGUUGAGGCCCGAAAGCGUGGGGAGCAAACAGGAUUAGAUACCCGAGUA
rnacentral:rRNA from 1 species